CUGCAUGAGAAUACACGGAGACAACAGAUGUCUGCAAACCAGGAUGUGUGUCUUCCUCAGGCACUGGAUCUAUUGGUGCCUUGUUCUUGGACUUCCCAGCCUCCAGAACUAAUUAUGAUCAACAACUCAGGAAAAUACUCAACUUGAAAGAGAUUAGUGAAUGUGGACUCGAAAGGUCUAAGACAGAGAAAGAAGUUGCUGUAGAACACUUUUGCAAAACAGUGGUCUCCAAAGAGCCAUGAAACAGCUUGCUGAUUUUUGAAUUUCUGGGUUUAUUACAAAUGACUACAUAAAAGCCGUGUGGUAAGAAACGAACUUCUGGUAACAGAUGGUGGAAAAUCACCAGUAAGACCCAAACCUAACAGAGACUGCUUCUGGAGCCAUGGUUCUCACUAAGGGUUAUUAGCAUCAUUCUUUGAUGAUGGGCAUUGAGGCAUCAGAACUCAUGGAUAUCACAGUUCCUGUGUGGAGAGGAAGCUUCAGAUGGUGCUCUUGCACAGACGGGACUGCCAUUCCCAUUUUAGUGGAUCUCUUAAAAGUUCGAAUGGCUCCUCUAAUGCCUGAUGUGAAUGGAACCUUUCUCUCUGCUUCAGUCAAGAAUCUGGUGACAAAGAAGCUUCAUCCUUUCAAUCUUACAAUUUCAAUCUCCUAUCUCAAGAAAGCUCAUUUCUAUGUAUUACCAGUGCAUCCUCCACAUGCUCUUCUGCAGUUGUUCCUUCUGCGGGAAAUGAUCUCUCCUUUUGUCGAGGCUUGGUGAAAUCCUUUGAAAUUCUGUUGAUUCUGUAAGAGCCAACACAAAUACCAACUGCCCUGAAUACUUUCUGGCUAAACUGCCACAAUGAACGAGGAUUCCUCACCCAUGUCCCUCCCUUUCCCUUCCUUUCUUUUUAUAAUGGUAUGCUUAUUGUUUUUUAAUGUAACAUUUUUCUUACAAAAGGAAUACACAUUCAGUGUUAAAAUGGAAAUGUAGAAAAGUCUUCAGAAGAAAAUAAAAAUCACCUGCAAAUCCA
rnacentral:lncRNA from 1 species